UGGUGGAGAGCUGGGUUUAGAGGAGUCAGUGUAAAGGGAAGACUAAGGAUGCAUCGGUUCUGGGGAGUUGAGAAUAUGCCUUCCCCCCCCCAGGCACCUUUAAAAAAAUAAUAAAACAUCUUCUUUUAUUUUAAAAUCUAAGCCGGGAAGUUUGCUCGGUGCAGCUGCUUUAAGGCAACACAGUUUCUCAUGUCCUUUAUGUCUGGCUGUCCCAUGGUCUGGAGACAGAGUCGGGGGAACAAGCCUGAGCUGGUCUCUGACUUCCUGGAGUUACACUCGAUUUGGGGAGAUGGAUGGAUGGAUGGCACACAAGGGACCGACCAGAGAGCGUCACACAUGAUUUAUUUUCACAAAAAGACCAAGCUACAGUGAUGCGAAUAAAGUUUGAUGCUGCAGAGUGUGCCUGAAAUCGAAGGCAAGGUGAAUGAGACACUGUGUCCAGAGUGUGGGGUGUACGAAGCUCUUCCACACUCGGAUGCCCUCCGUCUUUGUCAUCCUCCAGCAUGCUGGGCUGCGCAGGUGCUCCUGCUGUCUCCGUGGUAUCUCCAGAUGAGGAGACCAGCUCAGAGAGGGGAAGGCAUUCUGUUCUUCUUGAUCCAGCUGAUUUGUGACUGUAGGUGUGGUUCAUUGGUUCGUCCUGUUUUCUGCUCUGUAGCUGACAUCCGGAGAGCACACUGACAUAGCUUCAUAUGAAUGGACUCCUUUGGAACUGACUAGCACAAUUAUGGAGGCCAAGAAGUUCCACAGUCUGCUCUCUGCAAGCUGGAGACCCAGGAAAGCUGGUCACAUAACUCACUUCAAGUCUGAAGACCUCAGAAUCACAGAGCGUUUGUGGGGAGCAAUUGUGUAAAUUCUAGGUGGAUUCUGAAGGCCCAAGAACCAGAAGCUCUGAAGCCUGAGGGCAGGAGAAGAUAGAUGUCUCAGCUGAGGCAUAGAGAAAACUCACCCUUCGUCUGACUUUAUGUUCUAUUCAGGCCCUCAAUGGAUUGGAUGAUGCCCACUGCUUUGGUGAGGGUGGUCUUCCUUAGUCAUCUACUGGUUCAAAAUCUAAUCCCUUCCUGAAACACUUUCACAGACACUUCCAGAAAUGAUGUUUUACCAGUGAUCUGGGUGUCCCUUGGCCCAAUCAAGCUGACACAUAAAAGUAACCAGCACUGUAAGUAUUCAUUACAAUUUCUUUCAUUCCAGGCUUCUGGAAUGAAUUUUAAUGGAGACUUGUGGCAGGAGACUGGUUUCUGUGUUUGCCUGGGGAAGAGAAGGGAAGUUACACUACCUUCCGGGACUCACAAUCUGCUUGUGUGCCCAAGGCUGACAUUUGUUACUGCAUCUCAAUCCUGGAACCAUGAUCAGGGCUCAUCCUGGAUUUAAAGGAGGACCUGUAAGAUGAGAAGCUUUCUGGACAUACAUGACAAGCACUCAGAUAAAACACCUGCUCCCCACUAAGAAACUUCAAAGCCAACUUCAUCCACUUUGACCCUUCAGAAUAACUGCAGUCGAAGGAUAAAUGCUCCAUGUCCUCUCUGCCAGUCGGUGUUUAUCAGAGGACAUUGGAAGAAGAGGGACAAAGGUGCCUGGAUGUAUGUGUUCAUCAAGAGUCAUCAGGACCCUGGUUCUGAAAGGAAGUUUUAAAAUAAUGUUUUUGACAUCAAGAUGUUUCUGGAAGUUGAUGCGGUUCAAGAGUUUGGCAAACACAGGCCUGCAGGCUAAGUCCGAUCUAUUGCCUGUUUUUGUAAAUAAAGAUUUAUUGGAACACAGCCACACCCAUUUGUGGAUGGGUUGUCUGCUGCUGCUUUUGCGUUGCAGUGUGGAGCAGUAGCGACAGAGACCAUAUGCCUACAAAAUCUGAAAGAUUUACCAACUAGUUUUUUAACAGAGAAAGUGUGCUGACUCUUGAUAGAGCCUAUCCCAUUCACGGAGUAUCUAUGUAUCUAUACAUUUCCCUGCUGAGAAAUGUAUUUAUGGGAAUUUCGAUGACAGUCCACAUUUGGUGAGAUGCUGAGGGCUUUUGGUAAUGUACUUACGUAAUGGGUGUUCAGGACUGGUGUAUAGACAGCAGGAGGUGAGGCAGAUCAGGUGCAGGAGAUCAUGGUGUGAGAAAGAGGCUCUGCCAUUACUGUCUCAGUGGAAGUCACUGGUUGUGGCUCGGGUCUUCUUUUGUCAACUGUACAGAGGAGAAGGUGCCAAGACUUCUGACUUGGAGCGCACCUCGAUUUACUACCUUAAGACCUUAUGGUCAACAUUGUGGACGUCUGCUUCCAUGCCAAAAGAUGGGCAUCCUUUGUCACCAGUUGGUAGUUGGAUGGAUCAAGUUUAUCUGUGAGUGCAAGUCUAUGAUUCUCUGAAGCAAAGGUGCCAGUGAAGUUGCCUCAUAAACAAGCAGACCUUCCAGAAUCUUCCAUCGGAGAAUUAUCACCUGCAAAGACCUCUGAGAGCCACCAGCAACACACAGAAACGAGAGGAACCCCGGAAGAUGUUUGGAGAGGCCCACAAUGUGGGUGCAAAUUUCUUGGGGGACAGGGGACCGCUUCUGCUUUUGCUGUAAAGGACAGAAGUGGCCAUAAUUUCAAAGACGCCGGGUGAUAAGGUGGCAGCUACUAAAUAGCAACAGCAACAAAGAAUUGGAGAGAAGCACUUGGCAGGAUAGUUCCCGAAAACCCCCUCAAGCCUCUGCUUACCUAAUUGAUAUGCUGUCCUGGAACAAUUCUGUCUGACAUGGUGCUCCUGCAGGAUGCUUUCCAGGAGGAUUCCUGUGAACCUGACUCAGAAGAACAACAGUCUGUGCAUGAACCUGUUGUCCUCGAGAAUUUGAUCUUCUUUUUGUAGUAUCUUGUGAUGGUCAUGUCUUCCCCUUCUCUUUCUAUCAGCUUUUCAAAUGGUUGAUUUAGAAACCAAAUCAGUUUUCUAGUUAUUCAAGCAUUGAUUGUGUGGUCUUAGGUUCUCAUAACUAGUUUUCCUCAAGAUGAAUAUUGGGAAAAGUUUGGUAGCAAGCUUCAUCGUGAGGGAGGAGCCCUGAAAUAGGAGUCCAGAGCUGUUGUAAACUGGGGCAGGUUACUUCACCUCACUGAAACUUGGUUUCAUCAACUCUAGAUUAGAGGGUGGAUUAAAAUGCUUCUAAUUAUUAAAGCCUAUAAGACCUAAAAAAUGUGCUCCAGAGGAGAAAACACCACCAAAUAAAUACACCAACAAACGUGUAUUUAUUCACUCUUCCGCCAUGCUUCUGUAGACUGGUUUGAGAGAGCUCUUAAUCACCUAGUAUUAGCAUUAUCUUAAUUUCAUAUUGAAGGUAAUUCUGGUAACAUAACCAUAAGACUUGUACACUGGCUGACAUCCAUCCUUUUCCUAACAAAGUGGAUUAAUUAAUCCAGUCAAUUACUGUCAAGCAGAGGAGCAAGGUUGGGCAUUCUCUGAGAAAUGUGGUAGUUGUACAGCUGAUAUGGUUAAUUUACAAGACCUCAAAUGGAACAUUUAAAUUAAUUAUUUCAGUUGCUAUUAUGUUUAGAUAGUGCUGGUUGGGUAGAAAUCUAUUAAAACUAUGCAGUUUGGGUCAAUUUACCAAUGAAAAGGAUAAGCAUCAUUCUACCUUUUCUUUUUUCUUUCUAGAAUUAUAGCAAUUGAAGAAAUUAUAUUGUGAUAUUGGGCAAAUAAAUUAGUCAAUCCCCGCGCAAAAGUAGUUGAAAAGCAAACCAUUAGAACCCUCUUCCAGUCAAACAGAGGCCUCUUGGGAAGCAAUGUAUAACUAGAGCAAAGCUUAUAAAAUGAAAUAGGCAGGAUAUAAAAUUUUCAUAUACACACAACCCCUCAACAAGGACUUCUCUUACAAAUGUCUCCAUUACCUUGAUAGGAUUGGGAGUUGGCCAGUGGCUUUAUAAAUUUAAAGCAAAUAGUGACAAUUAGGUCCUUAGGGUACAUCCUCAUGCCUCCUUUAUUCACUUUAGGUUCAUUAUUUUGGAUUUUUCAUUUAUAUUUUUAUGUUUACAGUCCCUGGAGGAGGCUGAGUACUAUGUUUUGACAGUGGAAUCUGAAAGAGCUACAAUUCUAGAUUCUGUAAAUGCUGCUUGAUCAUAAAAAGUCUUAGCUUUAACUUUGAUUGCUGUCUCAUUGGUUAAGCCCUUUGGGUGGGAUAUACAUUCUAUUGAAAGGUCAGUCCCUCAAAUUCUGGUAUUGAGGUCUGCUCUUCAGAGGUUCAAACUGUGGGUGGUUUAGUUCAUAUCCUUUACCCCAAAAUGAAAAUUCUGGGAUUCUCAUUAGCCUUCUCCCAAAGCAAACCUUUAAAGCUUCCCCAACACAUGUAAAAACCAAACUUUACGAGGAUCCAGGACCAGCCAGGAAAUUUUAACAAAGACUAAAUUUUAGAACAGCAGAUCUCUCGUUGUGCAAAGGACAUUGCUAAACUUCUGGGUUGGAAGGUAUCCUGAUCUACCUAAUUCUAUUUAUGAAACUGCAUAUGUGCUUUGAAACUCCAUUUAGAUCCAACUCUUUCAGCUAGAGAUGGAAACCAUAUGUGUGUCUAAGGCCCAUAUGUUAGGGCUUGGAGAGUCUUAGAUUUUGUUUUGAUUUCCAACUCAGCAUCAUUUUCAGAUUUGGAGGCAUCUGGGUAUGUCCUUGACCCUCCGUGUCAUGUGGCAAUAUUUUUGUUAUCCAUUCUUCUUCUUCUUAGAUGAUUCCUUUUUCCAUAUGCUUGGAAAGGUGUUGUGGCCUUUCAUUCUCAAAAGAUUGUUCUAAGGAAAACAGAAUUGAAGUAAAUAUAUGGAAAAAAUCAAGUUCAUAGUCUUAUACCUGGAUGAAAUAGUAUUCUGUUUAUUGUUUAUGUACAUUCAUUAGGGCUUCUUUUUUCCUUCACUCACUGUUUCUUUUGUGUCAUGUGGACUUCCAUUUCCACUGGACACAUACCCAAGGAUUGUGGGCAUAUCCCAGUGUGAAGAUGGUUGGCUGACCCCCAAAUCUAUUUCCCCAUUCUUUUGAAGUAAUGAUCUAGUUGUAGCUGGGCAUGUAGCCUCUCAGCUAGGGACUGUCUUCCAAACCUCACUGGUAGGCAUGUGUUGAAAUUCUUACCGAUGAAAUGUGAGCAAUAGGGAUAGGAGACAUUUUAAGGCCUAUGUCCAAACACAUUGCCUUUCCCUUUGGUUGACACUGAAAUACAGAAUAGUCUAAGACCAGCUUCAAAUGCAGAUGAUAGCAAUAUCCUGGGGCGUUGAUGGACACAUGCAAUGGAAAGAACUGAACUCUUCUAAUUUCUGCAAGGAGCGGAGCCACCUGCUGACUUACCCUACUGCUGGAUUGGCAGGAAAAAAGCUUCUUUGUCCUUAAAAGUAGCUUUUACCCUAAAAUCAUGUGUAGACCUUAGGGCUUAUGUAUCAUAAUUAAAGGAAAAGAUAUCCUUUUCUGCAUAGAACCAAGAGAGAUUCUUAGGCUGUGGGGACAUGGAUUCAACAGGAAAUCAGUUCUCUGAACAAAACAUUUAUAGAUCCAUUUGGGAAAAAAUCGCCAGUCUGGUUAUUUGGCCUGAUAGUACUGAGAUCAGAAGGGUUGUUUAUCCAACACAGGAAUUCAUUUUUCUUUGUUGGUUGGUCACUCAAAACUUUACCUAUAAAAUUUUUAACAAUUGAGUUAAUGUUGUUACCAAUUACUAAAACACCUCUUUAGUGAAAGGGUGCAGACAUAAGAAUAGCUCAGUUGCCCAAGCCUCUGCCUUCAGGUCAUGAUGGAGCCCCAUGUCAGGCUCUCUGCUCUGCAGAGAGUCUGCUUCUCUUUCUCCUUCUGUGCUCUCUUACUCUCAAAUAAAUAAAUAAAUAAAUAAAUAAGCAAACAAACAAACAAAUAAAUAAAUAAAAUCUUUAUCAACAAGAAUGAAAAGCAAAGUGCGUAAGAUUUUCCUGAGGGAAGAAAAUGGGAAAACCUCUCUUGGUAGCUCACCUUUCCAGGGUCAGGCUUUGGUGGGCAGCUCUUGGGCUCUGGCAGGUGAAAUCUAGUGGCACCUCAGUCUAUGAUUUUACCUGACUUAUCCUCAAGUCCCUAAACUAUAACAUGGCAAUGAUGAUGCCAAUCUCAUUUAUUUUUACAGUUGGUAGAUCAUCUUCAGUAAUAUUUCUAUGGUAUCUGACACAUAUCCUGUGUUUAAUAAACGAUGUUUGGAGGUUCAGGGCAGCUUCUCACAGGUUCCCUUUGCUGAUGGUGGUUACCUGGUAUAGGAUGUGAAGGCAAGGACAAAGAUCCGUGUUUUCAUGAGAUUAAGGAGGGGAUGGACUUCUAGAUUGGCUUCCUUAUGAUUUAUUCAAGAUUUUAAGAACCAAAAUGUGCCAAGCCUUUUAAAGAUCUCAAAAAAUUAAGAUGUUUUUAAACAUAAAAAUUAUGCUGUGUAGGGCCACCUGGGUAGCUUAGAUGGUUAAGUGACUGACUCUUGGUUUUUGCUCAGAUCGAGAUCUUGUGAGUUUUGAGAUAGAGCCCACCUCAUCUGGCUCUGCACUCAGCAGGGAGUCUGCUUGAGGAUUCUCUCCUUCUGCCUCUCCCCCUACUCAUGUACUCUUCCCUAAACUAAAUAAAUAAAUCUUUGAAAAUG